UACGUAGGCAGCGAGCGUUGUUCGGAGUUACUGGGCGUAAAGGGUGUGUAGGCGGUUCUUUAAGUUUGGGGUGAAAUCUCCCGGCUCAACUGGGAGGGUGCGCCGAAUACUGAGGGACUUCGAGUGCGGGAGAGGAAAGUGGAAUUCCUGGUGUAGCGGUGAAAUGCGUAGAUAUCAGGAGGAACACCGGUGGUGUAGACGGCUUUCUGGACCGUAACUGACGCUGAGACACGAAAGCGUGGGUAGCAAACAGG
rnacentral:rRNA from 1 species